rnacentral:rRNA from 1 species
GACAGAGGCCUCAAGCGUUAGGCGGAAUCACUGGGCUUAAAGCGUGUGUAGGCGGAUCGUUAAGUGCCUUGUGAAAUCCCACGGCUUAACUGUGGAACGGCUGGGCAUACUGGCGGUCUUGAGCCAUCUAGGGGCGACUGGAACAAACGGUGGAGCGGCGAAAUGCGUAGAUAUCGUUUGGAACGCCAAUGGUGAAAACAGGUCGCUGGGGAUGAGCUGACGCUGAGACACGAAAGCCAGGGGAGCAAACGGG